rnacentral:rRNA from 1 species
AAUGAACGCUGGCGGUGUGCCUAACACAUGCAAGUCGAGCGAACGUACGUUAAGCUUGCUUCUCUGAUGUUAGCGACGGACGGGUGAGUAACACGUGGAUAACCUACCUAUUAUUCUUGGAUAACUACGGUAAACCGUAUCUAAUACCACAUCAUAUUUUGUACCGCAUGGUUCAAUAGUGCAUGACGGUCUUGCUGUCACUUCUAGCCGGAUCCGUGUUGCAUUAGCUAGUUGGUAAGGUAACGGCUUACCAAGGAAACGAUGCAUAGCCGACCUGAGAGGGUGAUCGGCCACACUGGAACUGAGACACGGUCCAGACUCCUACGGGAGGCAGCAGUAGGGAAUCUUCGGCAAUGGGCGAAAGCCUGACGGAGCAACGCCGCGUGAGUGAUGAAGGUCUUCGGAUCGUAAAACUCUGUUAUUAGGGAAGAACAUAUGUGUAAGUAACUGUGCAGAUCUUGACGGUACCUAAUGAAAAAGCCACGGCUAACUACGUG